UACGAAGGGGGCUAGCGUUGCUCGGAAUCACUGGGCGUAAAGGGUGCGUAGGCGGGUCUUUAAGUCAGGGGUGAAAUCCUGGAGCUCAACUCCAGAACUGCCUUUGAUACUGAGGAUCUUGAGUUCGGGAGAGGUGAGUGGAACUGCGAGUGUAGAGGUGAAAUUCGUAGAUAUUCGCAAGAACACCUGUGGCGAAAGCGGCUCACUGGACCAUUACUGACACUGAGGCACGAAAGCUAGGGGAGCAAACAGG
rnacentral:rRNA from 1 species